rnacentral:rRNA from 1 species
GAUGAGCGCUAGCUACAGGCUUAACACAUGCAAGUCGAGGGGUAGCAGGGUAGCAAUACCGCUGACGACCGGCGCACGGGUGAGUAACACGUAUCCAACCUUCCCAUAACUCGGGGAUAGCCUUUCGAAAGAAAGAUUAAUACCCGAUAGUACUUAACAAAGGCAUCUUUGAUAAGUUAAAGAUUUAUUGGUUAUGGAUGGGGAUGCGUUCCAUUAGAUAGUUGGUGAGGUAACGGCUCACCAAGUCUUCGAUGGAUAGGGGUUCUGAGAGGAAGGUCCCCCACAUUGGUACUGAGACACGGACCAAACUCCAACGUGAGGCAGCAGUGAGUAAUAUUGGUAAAUGGGCGAGAGCCUGAACCAGCCAAGUAGCGUGAAGGAUGAAGGUCCUAUGGAUUGUAAACUUCUUUUAUAGUAGAAUAAAGUGAUCCACGUGUGGAUUUUUGUAUGUAUACUAUGAAUAAGGAUCGGCUAACUCCGUGCCAGCCGCCGCGGUAA